CCUACGGGUGGCAGCAGUGAGGAAUAUUGGUCAAUGGGCGUAAGCCUGAACCAGCCAAGUCGCGUGAGGGAUGAAGGUUCUAUGGAUCGUAAACCUCUUUUAUAAGGGAAUAAAGUGCGGGACGUGUCCCGUUUUGUAUGUACCUUAUGAAUAAGGAUCGGCUAACUCCGUGCCAGCAGCCGCGGUAAUACGGAGGAUCCGAGCGUUAUCCGGAUUUAUUGGGUUUAAAGGGUGCGUAGGCGGCCUUUUAAGUCAGCGGGGAAAGUCUGUGGCUCAACCAUAGAAUUGCCGUUGAAACUGGGAGGCUUGAGUAUGUUUGAGGCAGGCGGAAGGCGUGGUGUAGCGUGGAAAUGCUUAGAUAUCACGCAGAACCCCGAUUGCGAAGGCAGCCUGCCAAGCCAUGACUGACGCUGAUGCACGAAAGCGUGGGGAUCAAACAGGAUUAGAUACCCGGGUAGUC
rnacentral:rRNA from 1 species